CCUACGGGUGGCAGCAGUGAGGAAUAUUGGUCAAUGGUCGAGAGUCUGAACCAGCCAAGCAGCGUGAAGGAUGACUGUCCUAUGUGUCGUACACUUCUUUUAUCUGGGAAUAAAAUGUUCCACGUGUGGGUUCUCGUAUGUACUUUAUGAAUAAGCAUCGGCUAACUCCGUGCCAGCAGCCGCGGUAAUACGGAGGAUCCGAGCGUUAUCCGGAUUUAUUGGGUUUAAAGGGAGCGUAAGUGGGUUGUUAAGUCAGUUGGGAAAGUUUGGGGCUCAACCGUAACAUUGCAGUUGAAACUGGCAGUCUUGAGAACUGGAGAGGUGGGCGGAAUGCGUGGUGUAGCGGUGAAAUGCUUAGAUAUCACGAAGAACUCCGAUUGCGAAGGCAGCACACUGGACUCCAACUGACGCUGAGGCUCGAAAGUGUGGGUAUCGAACAGGAUUAGAUACCCUAGUAGUC
rnacentral:rRNA from 1 species